AGCAGCCGCGGUAAUUCCAGCUCCAAUAGCGUAUAUUAAAGUUGUUGCAGUUAAAAAAGCUCGUAGUUGAAUUUCGGGGUUAGUAGAUUGGUCAUGCCUCUGGUAUGUACUGGUCUCACUGAUUCCUCCUUCCUGAUGAGCCGUAAUGCCAUUAAUUUGGUGUUGCGAGGAAUCUGGACUGUUACUUUGAAAAAAUUAGAGUGUUUAAAGCAGGCUAACGCUUGAAUACAUUAGCAUGGAAUAAUGAAAUAGGACGUUCGAUCCUAUUUUGUUGGUUUCUAGGAUUGACGUAAUGAUUAAUAGGGAUAGUUGGGGGCAUUAGUAUUCAAUUGUCAGAGGUGAAAUUCUUGGAUUUAUUGAAGACUAACUACUGCGAAAGCAUUUGCCAAGGAUGUUUUCAUUAAUCAAGAACGAAAGUUAGGGGAUCGAAGACGAUCAGAUACCGUCGUA
rnacentral:rRNA from 1 species